rnacentral:misc_RNA from 1 species
CAGGACUCGCAAGACUCCCGUAACCACUGUGAACCUACCUAUACUCGUUGCCUCGGCGGGUGCUCCGGCUUGCCCCGGAGCGCUACGCCCGCCGGCGGUACACAACUCUUGUCUCUUGCGUUGGCAUCUCCGAGCAAACAAAAACGAGUCA